CAGCAGGGCAGGUUCUUGCUUUCUAGAUGCUAUCAAAUGCCAAUCAGUCAAAUGAGCUCUAGAAGGCAGAAAUCCAGCUUUAGAAAGUGUCCAGCUGUCUUGAUGAGAAUAAUUAGUGUUUGAUUAACUGAAGGCUGAGUGUCACUCUGACAUGAGGAGAAAGUGUAUGGUAGGCAGACACAGGAAGAGGGUGGCGAGAAGGCCGGGCACUGAUAAGAGGGAUUGUUGUGGCAGGAGCUUCACACGUCCUCCCUCUUCAUUUCCUUUCGCCUGCUUGUGCCCUCCACCCUCAGGGGUGUGGAAAAUAUGACUAGUUUCUGGAUGCGAGCCAGUGUUUCAGUCCAGGAAUCAAUCAAAUCUCAAUGACCCUGAUCCCUGCACACACUGGAUGACACUCUAUUUGUGGAACUGUGUGCACAUCUAUCAAAACAAAAUACCUCUAGAGAACACAGACAUGUAAACAUAGCAGGAAUUAAAGCUAGGUUAACAUCCAUGGGGUUUCCAUAAUGUUGUUGUUAUGGCCAUGCAUUGUAAUAGUACUGGAUGGUAGUUCAGAAGGAGGUGACAGGAAGCAGACCAAAGGCAAACAACUCCACUGAUCCACAUGGGGUUAAUGGAUAUUCCUUUCAAAUGAUAGAUGAGUGGUCAGCAGGGUAGGAUGAUCCCAUUCAUAUUGAUGAGGCCUGGGUAUGCUGACUUAAAGAAGAGGGCAGUGAAGGAGAAAUGAAGGAGACAGGAAGACCAUCUGAUCCACUUCCUUCCCACAGGACAUUCAAUUUUCGGUCUCCCCUCCUCCUCCUCUCAGUUCCAGUGUGGUAAUUGACCUUGCUCUCAGCUCUGGCGUGUUUUUGAGGUGGGGGAUGAGCAAUUUGUGGCUGCCUGCACCUCCAGAAGACAAGGUGACCCAAACAUUAGUCGAUAAUUUGCUGUUUCACACAUCCACACCCACAUACCCACAAAUGCAGAGGCAGUGUAACAUGCUGUUUAGAGUACGAGCAAUGUUUCUGUAGUGCCUUCUAGAGGUGCAGGGAGCAUAUUUAUGUAAAAUCUUAUUUGAUGUAUCUGUCGCUAAAUUUACACUGUUUAUAUAGCGCCACAAUACUAAAUUGUCUUUAAUUUUUUGGAAAUUGGGUUGUAGAAUCACUUGUGUGACUCAUUUACAUCUGUCAAAUGUUUACUGAUUGGCUUAAAUGGAUAGUCCGUCAAAAAUUCUUUCUUCUGUGGAAUACAAAAAAAUAUAUAUAUUUUUUAAGUACGUUGGAAAAAAAUACUAUGGAAGUCAAUGGGGACCAGCAACCAUUUGAUUACCAGCUUUCUUUAAAAUAUCUUACUUUAUGUUCCACAGUGGAAAGAAACUCACUGAAUGACACCUUUAAGAUACUUAAUUUCUGAAAUGUAUGGAUUACUUGGGUUGUUACUGACAUCUGGUGAAAAUUUCAUCUCAACAGCACCUUUAGAAAUAUAUUUACUGAGAAAAAUGGUGACAUGUUCAAUACUUAUUUUACCCGCUAUAUGUAUAUAUACACAAAAGAUAAUAUUUUGACUCCUCAUACCUCUUUCUGAAAAUCUCUCUUUCUAUGCAUUUCCUUUCUCCAUCAUCUAAAAAAAAAGACUCUAUGAGUUCGAAAGGAAAGGAAAAGAGAAGGACAUGGAAAAACACGUCUCUGGGAGCCAGGAGAGGUUGAAAGAAAACAUGAGACUGAAGGGCUAAAUGAGACUUAUUGCUGGAAAAAAAAGAGAGAUGCCCAGUAAACGUCAGGAGAGGCCUAUUACGGCGAGAGAGGAUGGAUAGAGCGAAUUGAGAAAAAGAGACUAAAUGUUGAGAGAGGCAUGCUCAGCAUCCAUGAACAGGCGGUGCGUAAAAACAUCGUCCCUGAGGAUUCACUGGCUCUGCUGACUCCGCCAUUGGAAUACUGAUCACAUACCGCCCAACUGGCUGCUUCUCCAGUGCAAAUCCCAUGCUUACUGUACACAUACACACCUGUCUUACCGCUCCCUUAGCUCUAGAUAUCAAACAGAGCCAAUGUCAAUACUGGUUAGCAUGCUUGGCCACCUCACAUACACCAUACCUAGGUGUCUGGCACACUAUUUUCACAGAUAUCUGGAGAGUUUUAGUUUAUGAUCACCUCAAGGAGGUCUGUAUUGAUUCGUCUGGAUCGUAUCAUGAGCUUAGGUCUAGAUCUUCUUUUUAACGACUAAAGUAUAGUCAGUGCUGACCUUGUUUCAAAAUGUUGCAAGCCUUUUCAAAAAGGUGACCCUCCAGUGGGUUAUACAGACCAAAUUUGACCUUAAAUGAUGCCAGUGUUCGUAAUGGAAAUAAUGCUUACUGCAAUUAUUUGAAAUAGUAUACCUCUUUUUUUUUUUGGUUUUGCAACAGCAUUACAAAAUAUGCAAUAAACAUUUCAAGCAGUAGUAUACUACAGUACAUUGUUGUCAUUGCUUACUUCAUAACAUUAGAUUUGGUCAGACAUAAAUAUGUAAAUAACUACAUUUGGAUUGUUAAAGUAGUUUUCUGUAAAAAUAUUAAGCAGUCCAUGCACAUAAACCAAGAAUAAGAUUACGGCUAAUAUUACAGUACUUGUAGUUGGUCAAGUGGAGAAUUAUUGGAUGCAGUAUACAGUAAAUGUAGCAGGUAACGUACUGUAGGUACUCCAUACCUAUCAUGUGCAUACUGUACAUAUUGUAUAUAACAUUUUUGUACAAUGUAGAUUUAUUUAGUUUUUUUAAAUUAUCAUUAUUAUUUUCAUGACAGACAUUUUUUCCCUUAAAUUGUCAUUACUGUAAUGCACAAUAAAAAUAUAAUUUUCAUUACUGUAACAAUGAUUUUCUUUUUAUUAAAAUCUGCAUAAAUUAAAUUCAGUAAAACAAUCUUCUAUUAUAUUUAGUAGGAACUGUACUUUACAAAUUUACUUUGUAAAUUAAAUAUUUUUUCUGCAUUAUGGUGAUGAGAAUGAGAUUUAUUUAAAAUCAAAUUCGUUUUGUUUUUUGGGGUCACAUUUGUCUCACUGUGUACAUACUGUAGUAGUACGAGUAGUAUGAUAUUCUAAAUAUAACCUGUUUCCUUGCCAGGAACAAAGCUCACAGACUAACUACAUAAACAGACAUCAGCCAUCAUGGGGCUCUUCCCAUCCUCU